rnacentral:rRNA from 1 species
AACGCAGGCGGUUUCUUAAGUCUGAUGUGAAAGCCUUCGGCUCAACCGAAGAAGUGCAUCGGAAACUGGGAAACUUGAGUGCAGAAGAGGACAGUGGAACUCCAUGUGUAGCGGUGAAAUGCGUAGAUAUUAGGAGGAACACCAGUGGCGAAGGCGGCUUACUGGACGGUAACUGACGUUGAGGCUCGAAAGCGUGGGGAGCAAACA